UCAGCGUGGGUGUUACGUAACCGUCCCGGCGCUGCCGCGGUGUAGGAGUAGAGAACGAAAGUUAGGAAAUAAAUAAAAUCGUGAAAUGUGCGGGUCACGCGAACGCCCGGAGUGUGCAGGGCAGGGACGGCGGGGAAGGCGGGAUGAACCUGGAGGAGCUCCGCGGUCCAGCGCCUUCCCCAAGCUAAGGAUUGACCGACCCUGCCGGUACCGCAUGUAAAGCCCUCCUGUGUGAGCCGGCCUGGUCACACAGGAGGCGGGCAGCAGCGUUUCUGCACAGUGCGGGACCCAGACACAAAGUCCUGCGACUGAGCAGCACUGAGAAGACACUGACUCCAUCUUUAUUGGAUGAUAAAUACUGCCUCCUAUCAGUAUUCUACAAACUGAACAAGCCAGAAAAGAAUCCAGUUCAUGUUUCAGAGUUUGGCUGUUUUGGUGAGACAAAUGACACCUUGGAACCACAAACAAGCAAGUUUUCAUUAAAGCAAUGAAAGGUAAACCCAAAUGCAAGGAAAAAGUACAUCUGCAAGAACUGUGAUGCUGUUUUACUGCUGAGACAUAAUAAUAAUAAACAUUUAAAAAGGUUAAACCCUAGUUUAUAAAUAAUAAGAUCAAGUUUCAAACACACAUUGCCAAACAGCUGUUUGAUGCUUUUUUUCCUUCACACUAAGGUUACUCCAUGUGUUCAAGAGCAUGAAGCAAAGGCUCUUCUUACCUGAACACACUGAGGUUUUAACUGGAGGCA